rnacentral:rRNA from 76 species
CCUUUGCGACCCCAGGUCAGGCGGG